rnacentral:rRNA from 1 species
GUAGGGGUUCUGAGAGGAAGGUCCCCCACAUUGGAACUGAGACACGGUCCAAACUCCUACGGGAGGCAGCAGUGAGGAAUAUUGGUCAAUGGGCGAGAGCCUGAACCAGCCAAGUAGCGUGCAGGAUGACGGCCCUAUGGGUUGUAAACUGCUUUUAUAAGGGAAUAAAGUGGGUCUCGUGAGCUCUUUUGCAUGUACCUUAUGAAUAAGGACCGGCUAAUUCCGUGCCAGCAGCCGCGGUAAUACGGAAGGUCCGGGCGUUAUCCGGAUUUAUUGGGUUUAAAGGGAGCGUAGGCCGCAGGUUAAGCGUGUUGUGAAAUGUAGGGGCUCAACCUCUGCACUGCAGCGCGAACUGGCUUGCUUGAGUACGCACAACGUGGGCGGAAUUCGUGGUGUAGCGGUGAAAUGCUUAGAUAUCACGAAGAACUCCGAUUGCGAAGGCAGCUCACGGGAGCGCAACUGACGCUGAAGCUCGAAAGUGCGGGUAUCGAACAGGAUUAGAUACCCUGGUAGUCCGCACGGUAAACGAUGGAUGCCCGCUGUUGGCUUGAAUUAGUCAGCGGCCAAGCGAAAGCAUUAAGCAUCCCACCUGGGGA